rnacentral:rRNA from 1 species
GAAUUCGCCCUUAGAGUUUGAUCCUGGCUCAGAACGAACGCUGGCGGCGUGCUUAACACAUGCAAGUCGAGUGCGCGUGCCGUAGCAAUACGGCAUGGCGCACGGCGCACGGGUGCGUAACACGUGGGUAACCUGCCCUUUGGUGGGGAAUAACCCCGGGAAACCGGGGCUAAUUCCGCAUAAGAUCCGCAAGGAUGAAAGCCGCAAGGCGCCGAAGGAGGGGCCCGCGCCCGAUUAGCUAGUUGGCAGGGUAACGGCCUACCAAGGCUAUGAUCGGUAGCUGGUCUGAGAGGAUGGCCAGCCACACUGGAACUGAGACACGGUCCAGACUCCUACGGGAGGCAGCAGUGGGGAAUCUUGCGCAAUGGGCGAAAGCCUGACGCAGCGACGCCGCGUGGGGGAUGAAGCUUCUCGGAGUGUAAACCCCUUUCGAUCCGGACGAAUGCCCGCAAGGGACUGACGGUACGGAUAUAAGAAGCCCCGGCUAACUACGUGCCAGCAGCCGCGGUAAGACGUAGGGGGCCAGCGUUGUUCGGAAUUACUGGGUGUAAAGGGUUCGUAGGCGGUGCAGCAAGUCGGGAGUGAAAUCUAUGGGCUUAACCCAUAGGCUGCUUCCGAAACUGCUGUGCUUGAGUGUGGGAGAGGCGCGUGGAAUUGCAGGUGUAGCGGUGAAAUGCGUAGAUAUCUGCAGGAACACCCGUGGCGAAAGCGGCGCGCUGGACCAUUACUGACGCUGAGUGAACGAAAGCUAGGGGAGCAAACAGGAUUAGAUACCCUGGUAGUCCUAGCCCUAAACGAUCAGGACUUGGGGUGCCACCCGUUCGGGUGUCGUCCCGGAGCUAACGCGUUAAGUCCUGCACCUGGGGAGUACGGUCGCAAGACUGAAACUCAAAGGAAUUGACGGAAGGGCGAAUUC